UCACGAUAGGAGAAAACUUACAUGCACAGACGAAGAGAAGAAGAUGCAAUCUCAGGCUUCCGGAUGACCAAAUGUAUAAUGAUGAAGAAGACUACACAAGAGUGUCAUUUAGUGCCUAAGAAGACUAGAAUCUUACCCCGCGGGAUGCGAUGGUUCACAC